rnacentral:rRNA from 1 species
UACGUAGGGUGCGAGCGUUAAUCGGAAUUACUGGGCGUAAAGCGUGCGCAGGCGGUUCGUUAUGUCCGUUGUGAAAUCCCCGGGCUUAACCUGGGAAUGGCCGUGGAAACUGGCGGACUGGAGUCCGGCAGAGGGGGGUGGAAUUCCGCGUGUAGCAGUGAAAUGCGUAGAGAUGCGGAGGAACACCGAUGGCGAAGGCAGCCCCCUGGGCUGGCACUGACGCUCAGGCACGAAAGCGUGGGGAGCAAACAGG